rnacentral:rRNA from 1 species
UACGUAGGUGGCAAGCGUUGUCCGGAUUUACUGGGCGUAAAGAGCGCGCAGGCGGUUGUGUAAGUCGCGUGUGAAAGCCCCCGGCUCAACUGGGGAGGGUCACGCGAUACUGCUCAACUCGAAGGCAGGAGAGGGAAGUGGAAUUCCCGGUGUAGUGGUGAAAUGCGUAGAUAUCGGGAGGAACACCAGUGGCGAAGGCGACUUCCUGGCCUGUUCUUGACGCUGAGGCGCGAAAGCUAGGGUAGCAAACGGG